rnacentral:rRNA from 1 species
GAUACCUAGUGUGAAUUGCAGAAUUCCGUUAAUCAUCGAGUUUUUGAACGCAAGUUGCGCCCGAGGCUCGUCUGAGGGCAUGCCUGCCUGAGCGUCCGC